rnacentral:rRNA from 1 species
AUACGGAGGAUGCAAGCGUUAUCCGGAUUCAUUGGGUUUAAAGGGGUGCGUAGGCGGACUAUUAAGUCAGUGGUGAAAUCCUGCAGCUUAACUGCAGAACUGCCAUUGAUACUGAUAGCCUUGAGUUUGGUUAAGGUAGGCGGAAUGUGUAAUGUAGCGGUGAAAUGCUUAGAUAUUACACAGAACACCAAUUGCGUAGGCAGCUUACUGAGCCGACACUGACGCUGAGGCACGAAAGCGUGGGGAUC